rnacentral:hammerhead_ribozyme from 1 species
AUCCAACUGACGAUUCCCAAAUAGGAUGAAACGUGUCUUCUGGAU